AACGAACGCUGGCGGCGUGCUUAACACAUGCAAGUCGAACAGUGGCGAACGGGUGAGUAACACGUGAGUAACCUGCCCUCCACUUUGGGGUGAAUCCGAGAAGUCGGGGCUAAUACUGGCUCGUGGGGGCUGGGCUCGCGGCGUAUGAGUUUGUUGGUGAGGUAGUGGUCACCAAGGCGUGACUGGUACCCGGCCUGAGAGAGCGACCGGCCACACUGGGCCUGAGACACGGCGCAGAGUCCUACGGGGGGCAACAGUGGGGAAUAUUGCACAACCAGCGAGAGUCUGAUGCAGCGACGCCGCGUGGGGAAUGACGGCCUUCGGGUUAUAAACCUCUUGCGGCAAGGAAGCGGUACUUGCAGAAGAAGCACCGGCUAACUACGUGCCAGCCGCCGCGGUAAUUC
rnacentral:rRNA from 1 species